rnacentral:rRNA from 1 species
UAAACUAGGGAUAGAUACCCUAUUAUUCUAAAAUAAGAUUAAGAUAUUGGAGAUUAAAUGUAAAUCAUUAAAUUUAAAUAAUUUGGCGGUAUUUUAAAAAGUUAGAGGAAUCUGUUGAAUAAAUGAUAAUCCACGAUAGGAGGGUCCUGAUAUAUUUUUAUGUAUUGUUGUUUGAAUAUUAGUUUAUAAGGAUUUAAUAGAAAGUUAGAAUUAUAGAGAAAUUCAAAUCAAAAUGUAGAAUUAUUAGGUUUUAAUGGAUUACAAUUAAGAUUAUUAUUAGAACUUAGGUUUUAAAUAUCAAAGUAAAAGAGGAUUUAAUAGUAAGGUUAUAGAAUAAUAUAAUUUGAAUAAUAUAUAAAAUAUGUACAAAUUGCGGUUCUUUUUUCA